UACGUAGGGUGCGAGCGUUGUCCGGAAUUACUGGGCGUAAAGAGCUCGUAGGUGGUUUGUCGCGUUGUUCGUGAAAUCUCACGGCUUAACUGUGAGCGUGCGGGCGAUACGGGCAGACUUGAGUACUGCAGGGGAGACUGGAAUUCCUGGUGUAGCGGUGGAAUGCGCAGAUAUCAGGAGGAACACCGAUGGCGAAAGGCAGGUCUCUGGGCCGAUACUGACGCUGAGGAGCGAAAGCGUGGGGAGCGAACAGG
rnacentral:rRNA from 1 species